rnacentral:rRNA from 1 species
UACGGAGGGUGCAAGCGUUAUCCGGAUUCACUGGGUUUAAAGGGUGCGUAGGUGGGCAGGUAAGUCAGUGGUGAAAUCUCUGGGCUUAACCCGGAAACUGCCGUUGAUACUAUCUGUCUUGAAUGUAGUGGAGGUGAGCGGAAUAUGUCAUGUAGCGGUGAAAUGCUUAGAUAUGACAUAGAACACCCAUUGCGAAGGCAGCUCGCUACACUAUUAUUGACACUGAGGCACGAAAGCGUGGCGAUCAAACAGG